rnacentral:rRNA from 1 species
AAUAGCCUAACGGCUGAACCAGCAACUUGGAAGAAUGAAAGGCGGAAGCCAUAUGUAAUAUAUAUAGAUUACAGUAGUAACUCCGUUACAUAAAGUUCUAGGUAAGUAUUUGAUGAUGACAUUAUUUAUCUAUAAGUCUUGACCAAGUCUCGUGCCAGCAGUCGCGGUAAUACGGGGAAGACAAGUGUUAUUCAUCUUUAAUAGGUUUAAAGGGUACCUAGACAGUUAAUCAAGCCUGAAAAAGGGACUAAUUAAACUAGAGUUUUAUAGGAUAAGGCUAGAACGGUGAGUGGAGAGAUGAAAUUUUUUGAUACACCCUAGAUACUGACAACGGCGAAAGCGACCUUUUAUGUAAAAACUGACGUUGAGGGACGAAGGCUUUAUGUAAUUAACAGGAUUAGAUACCCCAGUAGUCUUAGCAGACAAUGAUGAGUGCCAUAUAUAAGUAUUUUAACAUAUAUGUUAUAUGUUAUUUAUGUAUAAAUGAAAAUGUAAGCACUCCACCUUAAGAGUAACAUGGCAACAUAGGAACUGAAAUCAUUAGACCGUUUCUGAAACCAGUAGUGAAGUAUGUUGUUUAAUUUGAUGACCCACAAAAAACCUUACCACAUCUUGAAUACAUUUUUUKUAUAAAAAAUUUACAGGAGUUGCACGGCUGUCUUCAGUUGAUAUCGUGAGAUUUUGGUUAGUUCCAUUUAAUCAACGUAAACCCUUACUUUAUUUUUUAUAUAAAGUAGUUCACCGUUAUAUUGGUUUAAGAUAACAGGGACUAANACAAGUCACCAUGACACU